GACCUUGCCACUUGGCAAAAGAUGACGAACGCUCAAAAGGACGCUGGUAGGCCGGUAACGGUUCGAACGCUUCCGAGUAAGGCAAAGCAGACAC
rfam:Odoribacter splanchnicus DSM 20712, complete genome.